rnacentral:rRNA from 1 species
GACGAACGCUGGCGGCGUGCCUAAUACAUGCAAGUUGAGCGCUGAAGGUUGGUACUUGUACCAACUGGAUGAGCAGCGAACGGGUGAGUAACGCGUGGGGAAUCUGCCUUUGAGCGGGGGACAACAUUUGGAAACGAAUGCUAAUACCGCAUAAAAACUUUAAACACAAGUUUUAAGUUUGAAAGAUGCAAUUGCAUCACUCAAAGAUGAUCCCACGUUGUAUUAGCUAGUUGGUGAGGUAAAGGCUCACCAAGGCGAUGAUACAUAGCCGACCUGAGAGGGUGAUCGGCCACAUUGGGACUGAGACACGGCCCAAACUCCUACGGGAGGCAGCAGUAGGGAAUCUUCGGCAAUAGACGAAAGUCUGACCGAGCAACGCCGCGUGAGUGAAGAAGGUUUUCGGAUCGUAAAACUCUGUUGGUAGAGAAGAACGUUGGUGAGAGUGGAAAGCUCAUCAAGUGACGGUAACUACCCAGAAAGGGACGGCUAACUACGUG